GAUUAGCUCAGUUGGUUAGAGUGUGGUACUGAUAAUGCCAAGGUCGUUGCUUUGAACACUGUAUGCCU